CAAAGCCACCCUGGGUCACCUACAUACUAAGGGAAUAAACGCCACUGACUCCAUCCUGAAGCAACUGGCCAUGGAAAAUCAAAUCUCUGGGUUUCAUCUGUAACUUCAAAAGUCAAUUAACCAUCCCCCAUCAGAACUUUUCCUUCAGUGUUUACUGGGUUACUGCCGGGGGUUCUCAAAGAGAUUUUUCAGACAAAACAAGUAAAUGAGGAAAACAAAAACGGUGUUCUGGAUUUCUGGAUUGAAGUUUUUAUAAAUGUUCCCACUUUUCACCCAGUGAGCUCUAGAGUUGUGUUAAGUUACUUGGCACACUACAGUUAGGUUUCUGAUGCGGUGAACAGGGACUAGAAGCCUCAGGAAAAGAGACUGGGAGAUUUAACAGCCAGACCUGAGAGCGCUGGUCUAAGCUGAGGGCAAGGCAUUAGUAACAGGAUUUCAGUGACAAUACAGGGAUUCUGCCCUAGCUAUUUGGAUCAACUUCUUGACAAAAAAAAAAAAAAAGGUACACUG
rnacentral:lncRNA from 10 species